CGAAAGCCUGACGGAGCAAUACCGCGUGAGGGAGGAAGGCUUUUGGGUUGUAAACCUCUUUUGUUAAGGAAGAAGAACGUGACGGUACUUAACGAAUCAGCAUCGGCUAACUCCGUGCCAGCAGCCGCGGUAAUACGGAGGAUGCAAGCGUUAUCCGGAAUCAUUGGGCGUAAAGAGUCUGUAGGUGGCACUUCAAGUCUGCUGUCAAAGACCGAAGCUUAACUUCUGAAAGGCAGUGGAAACUGGAGAGCUAGAGUACGGUAGGGGUUGAGGGAAUUCCCAGUGUAGCGGUGAAAUGCGUAGAUAUUGGGAAGAACACCAGUGGCGAAGGCGCUCAACUGGGCCGUAACUGACACUCAGGGACGAAAGCUAGGGGAGCG
rnacentral:rRNA from 1 species